GCUAGUGUGGCGUAGUGGUUUGAGUGCUGGAGUACAACUCUAGAGAUCCAGGGUUCAAUUCCUGCUCAGCC